AUGUGGGCCAUGCCGAUCAUGAGGCAGAUCUGCAGGACGGCUGUGGUGGGUGGGGGCCAGGGCGGGUGCGCAGCCCGGGUCUCCAGCCCCACCGCGGUGUCUCCCGAAUACCAUGAUCAGGGACAGGAUGAGGAUGACGGUGCUGCGCAGGUAGGAGUGCUGGUGUGGCCGGAGCUUGUAGUCAGGGCAGUUAAUGAGCUGAAGUGCCAUUUCCUCCUGGGGAGAGCACCAGGCAAGCCUCAGACACGGGACACGCCUCACAGGUGGACAGACGGGACACACGCCCCACACGUGGGGACACGGACACAAGGACAUGCCUCGCAGGUGGAUAGACGGGACACACACCCCACAUGUGGGGCGACAGACACGGGACACGCCUCACAGGUGGACAGACGGGACACACGCCCCACAUGUGGGGCGACAGACACGGGACACGCCUCACAGGUGGACAGACGGGACACACGCCCCACACGUGGGGACACGGACACAAGGACAUGCCUCACAGGUGGACAGACGGGACACACGCCCCACACGUGGGGACACAGACACAGGGACACGCCUCACGGGACAGAUAGGACACACGCCCCACACGUGGGGACACGGGCACAGGGACACGCCUCACAGGGGACAGACGGGACACACAUUCCACACGUGGGGAGAUGGACACGGGGACACGCCUCACAGGUGGACAGACAGGACACACGCCCCACACGUGGAGAGACAGACACGGGACACACGCCUCAAACACUACAGGCAUAUGUAGGCCGUGCAGGGCACCAGGCGCCCACAGCCUGUGCCCAGGUCCGCCUCAGCUGUGCUGCCAGCUCCACCUCACCUGGUCUUCGUCCCAUGUGUACAGGUCCCAGUGCAGGACCACGCGGGCACGCUGCCGCUUCCAGAUCUCCAGGAACACCGUGGCUGUGGCGGGGGCAAGGAGGGGCAUCACUGCGCUACGCCGGGUGGACCUUGGAGCUCAGGCUGGGCCCUGAAGAGGUGAACAAACUCAAAGAGGGGGUGGAUGGAAUGGGAGAUGGUGGAGGGGGGUGGGGGGGGAGGGAGGGAGGGGUGGAUGGAGGGGUGGGAGGGGAGGGGUGGGGAGGGCCUCCCUCAGCCCUGUGGGGAAACUGA
rnacentral:lncRNA from 1 species